rnacentral:pre_miRNA from 1 species
AAAAUACUCCCUCCGUUCGGAAUUACUUAUCUCGAAAAUGGAUGUAUCUAGAACUAAAAUACAUCUAGAUACAUCUAUUUUUGAGACAAGUAAUUUCGAACGGAGGGAGUAGGUU